UCAAAUUUUCUCUUCCCAUAAUAAUGUGAAUAUAAUUAGAAUAAUUUGAGAGAAGUACACAAUAUACACAAGUGUACUAUUUAACUCCAAAGAUGACUAGUGUGCUAAAGUGGACCAACAUGACCCGGAUAUUCCACCUUUUGCUACCGUAUUAAAACAAAAUUAGGAAGAUUAGCUGGUAAACUAUUCAUCCAAGUUGAUUAUAUUUUGCCUAUAUUUGACCAGAAAAUCAAUCAAACAUUUCAAUUGGAAGAUAAUCACGUGUGCCACGCUAUUCUUGCAUAAUAACCAUUCCCCCAAUAUCUUCCUGAUAUCCCUCUCCUUCUCCUUCUCCCUCUCCCCCCUCUCUCUAUCUGUUCUUCAUUCCCAUUGACCUUACCUGACUACAGGUGGAAAUUAUAUGGCUGAGAAGAUGCCUGUGAAGGAUAGUGUUAGAGAUGCGACCAGGGAAUCACUCAUAGCUUUAUCAUACUCGUCACCUGAAAUGCUCUCAAAUUCACCUAAUAAUUCAAACAAGGUGAAGUAUGUUGGUAAUACAAUAUCUGAAAAGGAUGGUAGCGUGGACUAUUGGUCUGAACUGAUUUCAUUGUCAUACCCAACAUCAGAUGCUGAAUCGCGACCUCAAGCUAAAGCUUAACUGUAAACCUUAAUUGUAUCGAGUUACUCCUAUUACAACACGCUGUUGGUUAAACAAAAGCUGAAUAGUAAUCUCACUUUAAUUGAUGUGAAUCGUGAUAGAAAAUGAAAGUUACCUAUACAUAAUAAUUAAUAAGCAGGGUUACUUUACUGUUUUCUUCAAGGAAA